AUUGAACGCUGGCGGCAUGCCUUACACAUGCAAGUCGAACGGCAGCACGGGUGCUUGCACCUGGUGGCGAGUGGCGAACGGGUGAGUAAUACAUCGGAACAUGUCCUGUAGUGGGGGAUAGCCCGGCGAAAGCCGGAUUAAUACCGCAUACGAUCUACGGAUGAAAGCGGGGGACCUUCGGGCCUCGCGCUAUAGGGUUGGCAGAUGGCUGAUUAGCUAGUUGGUGGGGUAAAGGCCUACCAAGGCGACGAUCAGUAGCUGGGCUGAGAGGACGACCAGCCACACUGGAACUGAGACACGGCCCAGACUCCUACGGGAGGCAGCAGUGGGGAAUGUUGGACAAUGGGCGAAAGCCUGAUCCAGCAAUGCCGCGUGUGUGAAGAAGGCCUUCGGGUUGUAAAGCACUUUUGUCCGGAAAGAAAUCCUUGGCUCUAAUACAGUCGGGGGAUGACGGUACCGGAAGAAUAAGCACCGGCUAACUACGUG
rnacentral:rRNA from 1 species